UCGGAUAUGGUGUAACGGCUAACAUUACCGCCUCUCAUUGAGUGAGAUGAUCGCGGUAGCUCGGGGUUCGAUUCCCCGUAUCCGAA